rnacentral:tRNA from 1 species
GGGCCGAUGGUACAGACUGGUAGCUACGCUCGCCUCGCACGCGAGAGAUCGCGGGUUCAAAUCCCGCUCGGUCCA